rnacentral:misc_RNA from 1 species
UCACCCCUCAGGCCCCGUGCUUGACGUUGGCGGUCCGUCCCCUUACCGGGACCCGCCCAAAGAUAACGACGGCGGUCCGUGGUUCCCCCGGCACACUGAGCUUCUCGGAGCACGUGUCGGACGAGGGCGCCCGGGUCCCGGUCUCUUGACCAUACUUCUCAA